rnacentral:rRNA from 1 species
UUUCUGUUUGGAAUCAUCUUAGGCCUAAUUCCUAUUACUUUAACAGGAUUAUUUGUGACUGCGUUUUUGCAAGACAGACGUGGGGGUCAAUUGGAUGGUUUAGUGUUUUGA